GAUAGCUCAGUUGGUGGAAGAUGAGACUCUUAAUCUCAAGGUUGUGGGUUCGAGCCCCACCUUGGCCA